AUUGAACGCUGGCGGCAGGCCUAACACAUGCAAGUCGAGCGAGCGGCGGGCGGGAGAGUAAUGUGGGGAGCCUGCGCUAUAGAGGGGGAUAACCACUAGACAGGGUGGCUAAUCCCACAUACUAUCAGGACACCCAUAUGGGAUUAGGUAGUAUGUGGGGUAAAGGCUCACCUAGGCGACGAUCUCUAGCUGGUCUGAGAGGAUGAUCAGCCACACUGGGACUGAGACACGGCCCAGACUCCUACGGAGGCAGCAGUGGGGAAUAUUGCACAAUGGGCGCAAGCCUGAUGCAGCCAUGCCGCGUGUAUGAAGAAGGCCUUAGGGUUGUAAAGUACUUUCAGCCGGGAGGCGUUACCCGCAGAAGAAGCACCGGCUAACUCCGUGCCAGCAGCCGCGGUAAUAC
rnacentral:rRNA from 1 species